rnacentral:rRNA from 1 species
UACGGGAGGCAGCAGUGGGGAAUAUUGCACAAUGGGCGAAAGCCUGAUGCAGCUAUGCCGCGUGUAUGAAGAAGGCCUUAGGGUUGUAAAGUACUUUCAUCGGGGAGGAAAAACAAAACUAAUAAUUUUAUUUCUUGACGUUACCCGAAAAAGAAGCACCGGCUAACUCCGUGCCAGCAGCCGCGGUAAUACGGAGGGUGCUAGCGUUAAUCAGAAUUACUGGGCGUAAAGAGCACGUAGGUGGUUUUUUUAAGUCAGAUGUGAAAUCCCUGGGCUUAACCUAGGAACUGCAUUUUGAAACUGAAAUACUAGAGUAUCGUAGAGGGAGGUAGAAUUCUAGGUGUAGCGGUGAAAUGCGUAGAUAUCUGGAGGAAUACCUGUGGCAAAGCGGCCUCCUAAACGAAUACUGACACUGAGGUGCGAAAGCGUGGGGAGCAAACAGGGAUUAGAUACC